GUUAACUGUACUUCAAGAAGAGAUGAGGAAAAGAGAUGUGCAUGGGGCUGGAAGGAGUGAUUUGUAAUGUAGGAUUCAGAGAGCGAAAUUAUUUCAGCCUGACCAUGGCAAAUACUUACCAGACAGAGACUGAAAAUAUUGCAUUGCAAAUGCAACCAGUAUUGACACAAGAAAGGUUCCCAUGAAGUAGAUCUGCAAUAAGUUUAGAAAUGUGUGUUAGAUUAAUACAAAGGUAGGGCGCUGGCUGUAACUGAACUGAUGAAUGUGACAAUGGAAUAAUACAUACCAGAGUAGAAUGCAAAAUGUUAUUCCAGAAAACUCUUAAGUAAAAAUAAAGCAAAGCUAAUGAGCAUGGAUUAA